rnacentral:hammerhead_ribozyme from 1 species
GUAUUGCUGAGGAGUCCCACAACUGGAUGAAACGACCGUCCAAUGC